AUACGUAGGGGGCGAGCGUUGUCCGGAAUUAUUGGGCGUAAAGGGCGCGUAGGCGGCCCGGUAAGUCUGGAGUGAAAGUCCUGUUUUUAAGAUGGGAAUUGCUUUGGAUACUGUCGGGCUUGAGUGCAGGAGAGGUAAGUGGAAUUCCCAGUGUAGCGGUGAAAUGCGUAGAGAUUGGGAGGAACACCAGUGGCGAAGGCGAAUUACUGGACUGUAACUGACGCUGAGGCGCGCAAGUGUGGGGAGAAAACAGGGUUAGAUACCCCGGUAGUCCACACUGUAAACGAUGAAUGAUAGGUGUAGGGGGAAUCGACCCCUUCUGUGCCGCAGUCAACACAAUAAGCAUUCCGCCUGGGGAGUACGGCCGCAAGGUUGAAACUCAAAGGAAUUGACGGGG
rnacentral:rRNA from 1 species